rnacentral:tRNA from 1 species
GUUGAGGUGGCCGAGUGGUUAAGGCGAUGGACUUGAAAUCCAAUGGGAUCUUCCCGCACAGGUUCGAACCUGCCCGCAACG